ensembl:lncRNA
CCUCUCCCAUUCCAUCUCUUCUAUCCCCCUCUCUCCCAUUCCAUCUCCUCUAUCCCCUCUCUCCCAUUCCUUUUCCUCUAUCCCCUCUCUCCCAUUCCAUCUCUUCUAUCCCCUCUCUCCCAUUCCUUCUCCUCUAUCCCCCUCUCCCAUUCCUUCUCCUUAACACCCCUCUCCCAUUCCUUAUCCUCUAUCCCCUCUGUCCCAUUUCUUCCCAUCUACCCCUCUCCCAUUCCUUCUCCUCUAUUCCCUCUCUCCCAUUCCUUCUCCUCUAUCCCCUCUCUCCCAUUCCAUCUCCUCUAUCCCCCCUCUCCCAUUCCUUCUCCUCGACACCCACUCUCCCAUUCCAUCUCCUCUAUUCCCUCUCUCCCAUUCCUUUCUCUCUACCCCCUCUCUCUCAUUCUCCAGUGCCUUAUCCUCAGGGUUGGGGAGUUUACAUGUAACGGUAACUGUAAUCCGUUACAAACGAAAAUAUUGUAAUCAGAUUACAGAUACUUUUGAAAAACUAGAAGAUUAUUUCCAGGGUUACUUUUAAAUUCAGAAAGGAUGUUUCUGAAAAAAAAUAUUGACACCUCUCUGUUUUCUCAAUGACAUUCAAAUCAGCAUUGAAGAAGGCGCAAAUGUAUUAAGUUUGUUCCACCUGAGCGAGUCUGACCACAAGUCAGAGACCACUAUGAUAACACAUCAAAUGUGUUUGAUGGAUCGCGGGAAAAGAGCAGGAAAGGGCUAUUGUGGGUUUCAGUCCAAGCCAUGUCUUCCAAUGGUGUGACUGCUGUCGGCAUCCAAAGAUGAUCCAACUUGAAUAAAGGCUUGGAGGUAAAGGAUGACAGUAGUGGUGUCGUCUACAGUGAUACCGAUAUCACUAAUUACUGAUAUCUACAUAGCGUAUUGAUGUGAAUCACACUGCUGCUCUCUUAUUUAGCUAUUUUUGCCUUACGGAUUGUGGUUGUAUGUUCACAAAUCUAAAUGUGGUUUUGAACCCAAUAAUGGUUGAAUUCAAGAAGUUGCAUAGUGCGGAUCCCAGCAUAUGGAAUAACAGUUGCAUAGUGCGGAUCCCAGCAUAUGGAAUAACAGCUGCAUAGUGCGGAUCCCAGCAUAUGGAAUAACAGCUGCAUAGUGCAGAUCCCAGCAUAUGGAAUAACAGCUGCACAGUGCAGAUCCCAGCAUAUGGAAUAACAGCUGCAUAGUGCGGAUCCCAGCAUAUGGAAUAACAGCUGCACAGUGCAGAUCCCAGCAUAUGGAAUAACAGCUGCAUAGUGCGGAUCCCAGCUAAUGGAAUAACAGCUGCAUAGUGCGGAUCCCAGCAUAUGGAAUAACAGCUGCAUAGUGCGGAUCCCAGCUAAUGGAAUAACAGCUGCAUAGUGCAGAUCCCAGCAUAUGGAAUAACAGCUGCACAGUGCAGAUCCCAGCAUAUGGAAUAACAGCUGCAUAGUGCAGAUCCCAGCAUAUGGAAUAACAGCUGCACAGUGCAGAUCCCAGCAUAUGGAAUAACAGCUGCAUAGUGCGGAUCCCAGCAUAUGGAAUAACAGCUGCAUAGUGCGGAUCCCAGCAUAUGGAAUAACAGCUGCAUAGUGCGGAUCCCAGCAUAUGGAAUAACAGCUGCAUAGUGCAGAUCCCAGCAUAUGGAAUAACAGCUGCACAGUGCGGAUCCCAGCAUAUGGAAUAACAGCCGCAUAGUGCGGAUCCCAGCAUAUGGAAUAACAGCUGCAUAGUGCAGAUCCCAGCAUAUGGAAUAACAGCUGCAUAGUGCGGAUCCCAGCAUAUGGAAUAAACGUGGUGCUUUUAUUGCACAAUAUAAUUCAAGUUGAUAAAAAUAAAUCCAUAGGCCUACUGGACACAUGCUCAAACUCCUUCACUUUUGAUAGACUUAAAGGGUCAAUCUGUAGAUGGUACAUCCAUUUUUGGACUUAUACAUUAUAUAUACCUGUAUAUAUCCAUUAAUUGUUGAAGAAUAUAACUUAUAAAUGCCUCAUGAGCUUAGUUCAACAGCCACACUCCAUCAGAACCCAAAAUAGAAGCUUGUUUUUCUCCAAUGUUUGUAAACAUUGUAAAUGUAAUCAAACAAGGUAUAGCCUCAUAACAUACUGUAGUUAAAACUAUAAUUUUGAUAUCAUGGAUGGUCAGUCCUUACAUCCGUAGCUCUGUCUAUUCAUCUGAGAGUGGUUACAUUUCUCCAGGCCCAUCCCUCCGCUUUUUACCAAAACAGAGGCGGGGUGCCCAUUUUGUUAUUGUUUCAUCUGUGGAGUUGCCCUUUAAACAGCUGCAUAUUAUCAAGAUAUCAAAGUGUCGCCAACUAAAAGGUAAACAAUAGACAUAUAGCAAAUGCAGCACAUGGCAUUCAUUUUUCACAUGUAAAUAGCACUUUUCAGUGUUCAAAGCUUGCCAUUCCACGAGCGAAGCAUUUAUUUUUUCAAUUAGAAUCAAUAAACCCAAUCAGUCCUCAACGACAAAAUCAUAAACAACACAGUAGGGCUGGCUAAUAAGUCCUUCGUUUUGGGGUUAUACUCAGAUAAAACCGUUUGGCUGAUCUAUACUUCUGUAUUUCCAAGUCCUAUUCUUGAAGGUCAAGGGGUAUAUCAUUUAUUGUAAUGACUGGAAUUCUGAUAGACUGGUUUUUAAUGUAAAUAUAUAGUUUAAUCGUUGGAGUAGAAAGCGAUGGGUUAGAAGAAGCCUACAUAACCCAUAAAGUCAAAUGUAACACCCAUUUAUGACCAGCUAUGUAAACUUUAACAUUGAUUUAUCCUGCAAUGUCGUUCAAUUGGUAACAUACAUUUUUGUCUUCUUCUUAUACCUCUUAAGGGGAAAGUCAUCUAAAAUAAAUGUAAUGUAAUCAGAUUAUGUUACUGAGUUUGGGUAAUCCAAAAGUUUUAUUUCUGAUUACAAUUUUGGACAGGUAACUUGUUUAGAAAGUAACCUACCCAACCCUGCUUAUCCUACAGUGCCUUCUCCUGUCUCUCCUCUACCCCCCCCUCUCUGAUUCCAUCUCCUAUACCCUAGUCCCAUUCCCUAGGGCCUGUCUCUCCUCUACCCCACUCUCCCAUUCCAUCUCCUAUACCCUAGUCCCAUUCCAUCUCCUAUACCCUAGUCCCAUUCCAUCUCCUAUACUCUAGUCCCAUUCCAUCUCCUAUACCCUAGUCCCAUUCCAUCUCCUAUACCCUAGUCCCAUUCCAUCUCCUAUACCCUAGUCCCAUUCCAUCUCCUAUACCCUAGUCCCAUUCCAUCUCCUAUACUCUAGUCCCAUUCCAUCUCCUAUACCCUAGUCCCAUUCCAUCUCCUAUACUCUAGUCCCAUUCCAUCUCCUAUACUCUAGUCCCAUUCCAUCUCCUAUACCCUAGUCCCAUUCCAUCUCCUAUACUCUAGUCCCAUUCCAUCUCCUAUACCCUAGUCCCAUUCCAUCUCCUAUACCCUAGUCCCAUUCCAUCUCCUAUACCCUAGUCCCAUUCCAUCUCCUAUACCCUAGUCCCAUUCCAUCUCCUAUACCCUAGUCCCAUUCCAUUUCCUAUACCCUAGUCCCAUUCCAUCUCCUAUACCCUAGUCCCAUUCCAUCUCCUAUACCCUAGUCCCAUUCCAUCUCCUAUAUCCUAGUCCCAUUCCAUCUCCUAUACCCUAGUCCCAUUCCAUCUCCUAUACCCUAGUCCCAUUCCAUCUCCUAUAUCCUAGUCCCAUUCCAUCUCCUAUAUCCUAGUCCCAUUCCAUCUCCUAUACCCUAGUCCCAUUUCAUCUCCUAUACCCUAGUCCCAUUUCAUAUCCUAUACCCUAGUCCCAUUCCAUCUCCUAUACCCUAGUCACAUUCCAUCUCCUAUACCCUAGUCCCAUUCCAUCUCCUAUACCCUAGUCCCAUUCCAUCUCCUAUACCCUAGUCCCAUUCCAUCUCCUAUAUCCUAGUCCCAUUCCAUCUCCUAUACCCUAGUCCCAUUCCAUCUCCUAUACCCUAGUCCCAUUCCAUCUCCUAUAUCCUAGUCCCAUUCCAUCUCCUAUAUCCUAGUCCCAUUCCAUCUCCUAUAUCCUAGUCCCAUUCCAUCUCCUAUAUCCUAGUCCCAUUCCAUCUCCUAUACCCUAGUCCCAUUCCAUCUCCUAUAUCCUAGUCCCAUUCCAUCUCCUAUAUCCUAGUCCCAUUCCAUCUCCUAUAUCCUAGUCCCAUUCCAUCUCCUAUAUCCUAGUCCCAUUCCAUCUCCUAUACCCUAGUCCCAUUCCAUCUCCUAUACCCUAGUCCCAUUCCAUCUCCUAUACCCUAGUCCCAUUCCAUCUCCUAUAUCCUAGUCCCAUUCCCUAGGGCCUUAUCCUACAGUGCCUUCUAUACCCCCUUUCCAUUUUUAUUUUUAUUUACCCAGGAAAAGCCUAUUGAGACACAGUCUCUUUUUCAAGGGAGACCUGGCCAAGAAGGCAUUAACAAUCAAUACAUUACAGAAUUAAAACAUACAACAAUACAAUACAACAACGUGAUCCAGCCUAAGAAAAAGCAUUUACACUCCUCUGUAACAGAGUCUCCCAUCAAUAUUUUAAAUGAAUUCCGUGGCACUAACAUCAAUAGUGGAAAAAGUACCCAAUUGUCAUACUUGAGUAAAAGUAAAGAUACCUUAAUAGAAAAAGGCACUGCAUCUCAGUAAAGGCGUCACUACAGACCCUGGUUUGAUUCCAGGCUGUAUCACAUCCGGCUGUGAUUGGGAGUCCCAUAGUGCGUCGCACAAUUGGCCCAGUGUGGUCGGGAUUAGGGUUUGGCCGGGGAAGGCCCAGUGUCGUCUGGAUUAGGGUUUGGCCGGAGAAGGCCCAGUGUCGUCUGGAUUAGGGUUUGGCCGGAGAAGGCCCAGUGUCGUCUGGAUUAGGGUUUGGCUGGGGAAGGCCCAGUGUCGUCUGGAUUAGGGUUUGGCCGGGGAAGGCCGUCAUUGUAAAUAAGAAUUUGUUCUUAACUGACUUGCCUAGUUAAAUCAAGGUUAAAGAAAAUGGUAAAAGUGAAAGUCACACAGUAAAAUACUACUUGAGUAAAAGUAUUUGCUUUUAAAUGCUUUCUCCUAUAUCCCUUCCCAUUCCCUAGUGCCUUAUCCUACAGUACUUUCUCCCCUACCCAUUCCCUAGCGCCUUAUCCUACAGUACUUUCUCCCCUACCCAUUCCCUAGUGCCUUAUCCUACAGUACUUUCUCCCCUACCCAUUCCCUAGCGCCUUAUCCUACAGUACUUUCUCCCCUACCCAUUCCCUAGCGCCUUAUCCUACAGUAAUUUCUCCCCUACCCAUUCCCUAGCACCUUAUCCUACAGUAAUUUCUCCCCUACCCAUUCCCUAGCACCUUAUCCUACAGUACUUUCUCCCCUGCCCAUUCCCUAGCGCCUUAUCCUACAGUACUUUCUCCCCUGCCCAUUCCCUAGCGCCUUAUCCUACAGUAAUUUCUCCCCUACCCAUUCCCUAGCACCUUAUCCUACAGUACUUUCUCCCCUGCCCAUUCCCUAGCGCCUUAUCCUACAGUACUUUCUCCCCUGCCCAUUCCCUAGCGCCUUAUCCUACAGUGCUUUCUCCCCUACCCAUUCCCUAGCGCCUUAUCCUACAGUGCUUUCUCCCCUACCCAUUCCCUAGCGCCUUAUCCUACAGUGCUUUCUCCCCUACCCAUUCCCUAGCGCCUUAUCCUACAGUACUUUCUCCCCUACCCAUUCCCUAGCGCCUUAUCCUACAGUACUUUCUCCCCUACCCAUUCCCUAGCGCCUUAUCCUACAGUACUUUCUCCUAUACCCAUUCCCUAGCGCCUUAUCCUACAUUACUUUCUCGUAGACCCAUUCCCUAGCGCCUUAUCCUACAGUACUUUCUCCCCUACCCAUUCCCUAGCGCCUUAUCCUACAGUGCUUUCUCCUAUACCCAUUCCCUAGCGCCUUAUCCUACAGUACUUUCUCCCCUACCCAUUCCCUAGCGCCUUAUCCUACAGUACUUUCUCCUAUACCCAUUCCCUAGCGCCUUAUCCUACAGUACUUUCUCCUAUACCCAUUUCCUAGCGCCUUAUCCUACAGUACUUUGUCCCCUACCCAUUCCCUAGCGCCUUAUCCUACAGUGCUUUCUCCUAUACCAUUCCCUAGCGCCUUAUCCUACAGUACUUUCUCCCCUACCCAUUCCCUAGCGCCUUAUCCUACAGUGCUUUCUCCCUACCCAUUCCCUAGCGCCUUAUCUUACAGUGCUUUCAACCCUACCCAUUCCCUAGCGCCUUAUC